ACACAUAAUUCUUUUUCUGUUUCCUCAGAUGUUCAUGAAAGUGAAGAGCAAACUGAAGCUCCUUCAGUUGAUGCCACUGGGUCACCAGAUGUCAGCGAUGAAGGUGUUGCCAUGACUGACAGCGAUGAAGAGACUGCAGAGUCUGUGCCCGAAAACAGCGCCGACACCAGCACGGAGUCUGAGCCAGCACCUAAUGGUGACAAAGAAGAUGGGGGGGAGGCAUUGAGUGAUGAAGAGCAGGAAGUGAAGGAGAAGGGAGAUGAAACGAGUGAAAAAGAUACCAGUGAGGAGGAGGAGGGGGGGGAGGUGGUGCCUAUCAUAGAAGAGGACAGCAAAGAGGAAACUCCAGCUGAAGAAGACAGCCAAAUGAAUAACAGUGAGAUUGAAGACAUGGUGGAGAUAGAGGAGAAAGAGGCUGAGGAGGAAGAAACAGAAGAGGAGAAUGAGGAGGAGUUCAAAGAAGUGGAGGAGGAGAAGGAGGAAAAAGAGAACGAUAAUCAGGAUGAGCUAGGGGAGGAUAAGCAGGAUGAGCUAGGGGAGGAGAAAGAGGAGGAGGAUGAGCUAGAGGAGGAUAAGGAGGAGGACGAGCCAGAGGAGGAGGAGCUAGAGAAGGAAAAUGAAGAGAAAGAGCAAGAUGGGGAUAAAGAGGAGGAUGAGGCAGAAGAGGAGAAGGAAGAGUUAGAUAAUGAAAAGGAAGAGAAAGAGGAAGAUACGGAUGAGAAGGAGGAGCAGCGGGAGGAACUGGAGGAAGGAAAUGAGGAGGAGCAAGAGAUAAAGGAGGAGGAAGAGGAGGAGGAGGAUUUCAAGGAUGAAUCUGAAAAUGCAGAUACUGAAGAACCUGAUGAAAUUGAUGAUGGUCUGGACUCCACUGAAGCAACACCUGCUGGUGAACUGGACCAAUCAGAUGAUGCCACCCCCGUCACCAAACAGGCUACCAGUUAGAUGCUUCGCCUCUGAGCUGUGGGAGCUCAGCAACUGCAGAGCCAAGCCCACAGCCUCCACAGUGGAAUCCAGCUGCCAUGACUUCAACAACCUAAACUGCAUGAAUUUCAACGUUCAGCCAACUGUUGUUUCCUCUCCCCAUUUUCUAGCAGUGUCUGUUUUAACCUCUGGCUUCUUUGGUUUUCUCAGAUUAAAAAAGGAAAUGUCUUUCACCUGCUGACUGUCUUCUUUUCUGCCAUGUGUCUCUCUUUCCAGCUUCUUGUCUGCAGAAAUAUUAAAUCAGCUGCUGAGCUCAGAUCUGUUUUGUGUGUCUGAUUUCACACAUUAACAUGUACAUAAGUCCCUCUUUAAUUUACAGAGAAUGUUUUUAAGGACGUGAAAAACCAGUCAGUGGUGUAUACAGAGGAACUGCUAAUAAAGUUUGAAUUGUCG
ensembl:lncRNA